AGUCAUUUUAUCUUUAAGUAGCAAAAGAAUCAAAGGAAUGUUGGAUCGGCUCCAUCAGCGACAGUCUUGCAUACAUUUUCUAGGUACAGAAAAUCUACACAUCAUAUCAAAUUUCAAACAGCGAGUCAAACAAGAAGUUUACUUGAUUUAACCAUGUAUUAUUUAAGAUUUUUUUUUUGGUAAAUAUAUAUAUUCUUGUUAUAAAUGAUGCAUAUAUGUACAGUAAUAUUUUCCUGUUUGAUAUGGAAUAAGCAUAUUCAUAAACAAUUUUACAGGUAUUUUUUAUAUGUAAACUUUUGAAAUACUUUGUGGCAUCAUUUUAUUAAUCAGAUUCUCAACUACUGUAUUUUUUACCGACAAGAUCUUUUUUAAAUAUACAUGGAAUUGUGUACGAAAAAGAGGACAUAUCAAUAAAGUGCCUUGAUGUUGUGAAACAUACAUGCUUUAGAUGUUGGAGGCAUGAAUUUCCACAGGUUGUUUGAUUUUUUACAUUAGAAACUUUUAAGAUUGUAUUAAACUGUUUCUUUGAACAAAGCAAAGUUGUGACUCACGAAUUUUGGUGAGAGAAAAAAACAACUUGUACGAUAUGUUAAUUGCAUUAAUUAGGUACACUUAUUUGUAUAUUGCCUGUGUGAAAGUUGGCGUGUUUAAUUUGAUAAAUUCAGUAAAGGAUAUUAGACUGCAUGUAGUGAAACUGUCUAACGUGCCAAAGUUAUGUACGGGAAAACUUACAUGAUUGUAAACAAAUGUCAAGGGCAGAUAUCUCUUGUUAUUCUGAGGUUAUUCAGAUAUUGAGAUUCAUGUAUAAAACUUUUUAGAUACUCAGAUUUACAAAAAAAAAAUUGAAACUAUACUAAAGUUCCAGUGAACUGUUGUAUAUUACAUGUAUAGUGUAUAUAAAUAUUUAUUCAACUUGUGUAGAUUCAUUAAACAUAACAUUAUCU
rnacentral:sRNA from 1 species